rnacentral:rRNA from 1 species
UACGUAGGCAGCAAGCGUUGUUCGGAGUUACUGGGCGUAAAGGGUGCGUAGGCGGCUUUUUAAGUUUGGUGUGAAAUCUCCCGGCUCAACUGGGAGGGUGCGCCGAAUACUGAGAAGCUAGAGUGUGGGAGAGGAAAGUGGAAUUCCUGGUGUAGCGGUGAAAUGCGUAGAGUAUCAGGAGGAACACCUGUGGCGAAAGCGGCUCUCUAGUACGGUACUGACGCUGAGACGCGAAAGCGUGGGGAGCGAACAGG